AGCGAACGCUGGCGGCAGGCCUAACACAUGCAAGUCGAACGAACUCUUCGGAGUUAGUGGCGGACGGGUGAGUAACACGUGGGAACGUGCCUUUUGGUUCGGAAUAACUCAGGGAAACUUGUGCUAAUACCGAAUGUGCCCUUCGGGGGAAAGAUUUAUCGCCAUUAGAGCGGCCCGCGUCUGAUUAGCUAGUUGGUGAGGUAACGGCUCACCAAGGCGACGAUCAGUAGCUGGUCUGAGAGGAUGACCAGCCACACUGGGACUGAGACACGGCCCAGACUCCUACGGGAAGCAGCAGUGGGGAAUCUUGCGCAAUGGGCGGAAGCCUGACGCAGCCAUGCCGCGUGAAUGAUGAAGGUCUUAGGAUUGUAAAAUUCUUUCACCGGGGACGAUAAUGACGGUACCCGGAGAAGAAGCCCCGGCUAACUUCGUG
rnacentral:rRNA from 1 species